rnacentral:sRNA from 1 species
GCCUGGUGUGGUGGCGCACACCUGUAAGACCUGCCACUCGGGAGGCUGAGGCAGGAGGCUCACAAGUUCAAAGCCAGCCUCAGCAAAAGUGAGGCAUUUAAGCAACUCAGUGAGACCCUGUCUCUA